rfam:Dipodomys ordii contig_62984, whole genome shotgun sequence.
GGUGGCUCAGUGGUAGAGCUCUUGCCUUGCAUGCAUGAGGCCCUGGGUUCGAUUCCUCAGAACCA